UCAUCCUAUCAGAUCACGUGACUUGGAUCAACCAAUUACCUUCGCAUUCGCCUGGAUCAACUGGAUCAACCAAAAUGGCCUUCUGUCGACCCGUUCUAUACUACUACCGUUGUCCAGCAAGGCUUGUAUAUACUGAUAUACAUAUAUAUACAUUUCAGUGCGAGGUCAGAAGAGAAACGAUUUGAAAAGACACAAAAAAGAAAAGCGGAACUGAAUCGCGCGCAAAGUCAAGCAAAGAAACGUUGUGUGCCGGGUCGUACGUGCGGGUGGCGGUGCCAACGGAAAAAGGACGGACAACCCCGUUUGUUGCAGAGGUGCUGACAGCGGGAACGGGGACAACUCUAGACGCGUCUUACCUCCGACAACAUGCAUCUGGAUACAGGUACUGGAUACAGGUAUCCAGAUGUGGCAGACAUAAAGAAGAUAUUUAUAAGCGACAUUAUCACCACACUGGAGACGCCAAGGAUUCUCCAGCUGGGCAGUCGAUGCUUUUUGCAGUUUUAGAGUUUUUGUACAUAAAUUGAGUAAAUAAAUAACGCAAAAAGCGACGAACGGAAUUGGUUGAUGCAAGUUACCGUGUCCCGUAUUGCGCCGUCAUAUAGCUGGAAUAUUGCUGAGUGUGGCGUUUGUUGGAGGGAGCGCUAUUUACAUUAGCUAGUGCUUGUUAAACCCAAUCUUAGUUGAAUAAAAUAUGUUUAAACUAUU